CCUACGGGAGGCAGCAGUGGGGAAUCUUGCGCAAUGGGCGAAAGCCUGACGCAGCCAUGCCGCGUGAAUGAUGAAGGUCUUAGGAUUGUAAAAUUCUUUCACCGGGGACGAUAAUGACGGUACCCGGAGAAGAAGCCCCGGCUAACUUCGUGCCAGCAGCCGCGGUAAUACGAAGGGGGCUAGCGUUGCUCGGAAUUACUGGGCGUAAAGGGAGCGUAGGCGGAUAGUUUAGUCAGAGGUGAAAGCCCAGGGCUCAACCUUGGAAUUGCCUUUGAUACUGGCUAUCUUGAGUACGGAAGAGGUAUGUGGAACUCCGAGUGUAGAGGUGAAAUUCGUAGAUAUUCGGAAGAACACCAGUGGCGAAGGCGACAUACUGGUCCGUUACUGACGCUGAGGCUCGAAAGCGUGGGGAGCAAACAGGAUUAGAUACCCUGGUAGUCCACGCUGUAAACGAUGAGUGCUAGUUGUCGGCAUGCAUGCAUGUCGGUGGUACGCGAGCUACGACAUUAAGACACUCCGCCGUCGGGAGGUACGGUCGCGAGAUUAAACGUACGAAGAAGUAGACGGCGNGAGACGUGCCGACGGACGACGACGAGGGAGGUAGG
rnacentral:rRNA from 1 species